GUCCAAAGGACUAUUGUGCUGUGCUAAGGUAAACCGUUUGGUUUUCGACCACUAGGACCCGGGUUCGAUUCCCGCAUUGGGCA